rnacentral:rRNA from 1 species
GAUGAACGCUGGCGGCGUGCCUAAUACAUGCAAGUCGAGCGAACAGACGAGGAGCUUGCUCCUCUGACGUUAGCGGCGGACGGGUGAGUAACACGUGGAUAACCUACCUAUAAGACUGGGAUAACUUCGGGAAACCGGAGCUAAUACCGGAUAAUAUAUUGAACCGCAUGGUUCAAUAGUGAAAGACGGUUUUGCUGUCACUUAUAGAUGGAUCCGCGCCGCAUUAGCUAGUUGGUAAGGUAACGGCUUACCAAGGCGACGAUGCGUAGCCGACCUGAGAGGGUGAUCGGCCACACUGGAACUGAGACACGGUCCAGACUCCUACGGGAGGCAGCAGUAGGGAAUCUUCCGAAAUGGGCGAAAGCCUGACGGAGCAACGCCGCGGGAGUGAUGAAGGUCUUCGGAUCGUAAAACUCUGUUAUUAGGGAAGAACAAAUGUGUAAGUAACUAUGCACGUCUUGACGGUACCUAAUCAGAAAGCCACGGCUAACUACGUG